GACGAACGCUGGCGGCGUGCUUAACACAUGCAAGUCGAACGGAAAGGCCCCCUUGUGGGGUACUCGAGUGGCGAACGGGUGAGUAACACGUGAGUAACCUACCCUUGACUGUGGGAUAACUUCAGGAAACUGGGGCUAAUACCGGAUAGGAGCUCCUGCUGCAUGGUGGGGGUUGGAAAGUUUCGGCGGUUGGGGAUGGGCUCGCGGCUUAUCAGCUUGUUGGUGGGGUAGUGGCUCACCAAGGCUUUGACGGGUAGCCGGCCUGAGAGGGUGACCGGCCACAUUGGGACUGAGAUACGGCCCAGACUCCUACGGGAGGCAGCAGUGGGGAAUAUUGCACAAUGGGCGGAAGCCUGAUGCAGCAACGCCGCGUGCGGGAUGACGGCCUUCGGGUUGUAAACCGCUUUCGCCUGUGACGAAGCGUGAGUGACGGUAAUGGGUAAAGAAGCACCGGCUAACUACGUG
rnacentral:rRNA from 1 species